CCGCCAGAGGAUAACGAGCUAAAGCUUAAAACUCAAAGGACUUGGCGGCACUCCAUACCACCCUAGGGGGGCCUGUCACAUAAUCGAUAACCCACGAUAGACCUCACCACUUUUAGCCCACAUCAGCCUAUAUACCGCCGUCGCCAGCCCAUCUCAAAGAGGAAACAAAAUGGGCCCAAUAGUCCCGCAUACUAAUACGACAGGUCAAGGUGUAGCUCAUAAAGCGGGAAAAUGAUGGACCACAUUGCUUACAUAAAGCCACACUAAGAUUGCACUGAAACACACACUUUAAGGUGAACUUAACAAUAAGAUAGACAAGAAAGUCUACCUGAAGCAUGCUCUGGAGUGUGCACACACCGCCGGUUCACCCUCAA
rnacentral:rRNA from 1 species